CGCCCCCCGCUAAAUAGUUUUAUGGGGGGUCCUGCCUGCCCAGUGACCAAGGUUAAACGGCCGCGGUAUCUUGACCGUGCAAAGGUAGCAUAAUCACUUGUCUCCUAAAUAGAGACUGGUAUGAAUGGCAAGACGGAGCUAAACUGUCUCUUUUUUUAGUCCUAAAAUUUACUUUCACGUGAAGAGGCGUGAAUAGAAUCGAUAGACGAGAAGACCCUGUCGAGCUUAAAGUAAAAAACAAAACUAUCUUUUAGAACAAAAAUUACUAAUUUUUAAAUUUAGAAAGCUGAGUUCUUUUGUGUCUGUUUUAACUUUGGUUGGGGCAACCGCGGAAAAAGAAAAUCUUCCGCUAGUACAACUAUUAAACUAAGGAAAACCAUCCUACUAUCUAAUAUGAGCACGUGAUCCACUUAAGGUGAUCAAAGGAACAAGUUACCGCAGGGAUAACAGCGUUAUCUUUUUUGAGAGUUCACAUUGACAAAAAGGUUUGCGACCUCGAUGUUGGAUCGGGACAUCCUAAGGGUGCAGAAGCUUUUAAGGGUUGGUCUGUUCGACCAUUAAAGUCCUACGUGAUCUGAGUUCAGACCGGCGAAAGC
rnacentral:rRNA from 1 species